rnacentral:rRNA from 1 species
AGCGAACGCUGGCGGCAGGCCUAACACAUGCAAGUCGAACGAACUCUUCGGAGUUAGUGGCGGACGGGUGAGUAACACGUGGGAACGUGCCUUUAGGUUCCGAAUAACUCAGGGAAACUUGUUCUAAUACCGAAUGUGCCCUUCGGGGGAAAGAUUUAUCGCCUUUAGAGCGGCCCGCGUCUGAUUAGCUAGUUGGUGAGGUAAAGGGUAACAAAGGCGACGAUCAGUAGCUGGUCUGAGAGGACGACCAGCCACAUUGGGACUGAGACACGGCCCAAACUCCUACGGGAGGCAGCAGUGGGGAAUCUUGCGCAAUGGGCGAAAGCCUGACGCAGCCAUGCCGCGUGUAUGAUGAAGGUCUUAGGAUUGUAAAAUACUUUCACCGGUGAAGAUAAUGACUGUAGCCGGAGAAGAAGCCCCGGCUAACUUCGUGCCAGCCGCCGCAGUAACAC